CACGUAGGGGGCGAGCGUUGUCCGGAUUUAUUGGGCGUAAAGAGCUCGUAGGCGGCUCAGUAAGUCAGGUGUGAAAACUCGAGGCUCAACCUCGAGAGGUCAUCGGAAACCAUCUGGCUAGAGUCCGGAAGAGGAGAGUGGAAUUCCUGGUGUAGCGGUGAAAUGCGCAGAUAUCAGGAAGAACACCCGUGGCGAAGGCGGCUCUCUGGGACGGUACUGACGCUGAGACGCGAAAGCGUGGGGAGCGAACAGG
rnacentral:rRNA from 1 species